CCUCGCAGGAAUGGUCUCCGGGUAGAGGCAGGUAAGGAUGUCCCGGGCCGGUGGAGAAGGAAGAGCUGGGCGUGUGGCUUCGCUUGGAAUCCGAAUCAGAGCUUGGACCAGAGCCUUCCCUGAGAAUGCUGAAGCAACACCUUCUUUGGAUUGAGUUUCUUCCAGAGGGAACGAAGAAGAGGAUUAAAUAAUACAUUCAAUUCUAAAAUAAGACAUGGCCCAUUACUAUUAUUUGUCAUUUUAGGAGUUGGUGAUGUUCAGAGAUGUGGCUAUAGAUGUCUCUCAGGAGGAAUGGGAAUGCCUGAACCCAGCGCAGAGGAAUUUGUACAAGGAGGUGAUGUUGGAGAAUUAUAGCAACUUGGUGUCACUUGGACUUUCUGUUUCUAAGCCAGCCGUAAUCUCCUCAUUGGAGCAAGGGAAGGAGCCCUGGAUGGUUGUGAGGGAAGAGACAGGAAGAUGGUGCCCAG
rnacentral:lncRNA from 1 species